rnacentral:rRNA from 1 species
CCCUACGGGGCGCAGCAGUGAGGAAUAUUGGUCAAUGGACGAGAGUCUGAACCAGCCAAGUAGCGUGAAGGAUGACUGCCCUAUGGGUUGUAAACUUCUUUUAUAUGGGAAUAAAACAGGGUAUGCAUACCCUCUUGUAUGUACCAUAUGAAUAAGGAUCGGCUAACUCCGUGCCAGCAGCCGCGGUAAUACGGAGGAUCCGAGCGUUAUCCGGAUUUAUUGGGUUUAAAGGGUGCGCAGGCGGAGGUGCAAGUCAGCGGUCAAAUUGCGGGGCUCAACCCCGUACUGCCGUUGAAACUGCAUCC